rnacentral:rRNA from 1 species
CCUACGGGGGGCUGCAGUGGGGAAUAUUGGACAAUGGGGGGAACCCUGAUCCAGCCAUGCCGCGUGUGUGAAGAAGGCCCUCGGGUUGUAAAGCACUUUCAGUGAGGAAGAACGCCUGGUGGUUAAUACCCAUCAGGAAAGACAUCACUCACAGAAGAAGCACCGGCUAACUCCGUGCCAGCAGCCGCGGUAAUACGGAGGGUGCGAGCGUUAAUCGGAAUUACUGGGCGUAAAGCGCGCGUAGGUGGCUUGAUAAGCCGGUUGUGAAAGCCCCGGGCUCAACCUGGGAACGGCAUCCGGAACUGUCAAGCUAGAGUGCAGGAGAGGAAGGUAGAAUUCCCGGUGUAGCGGUGAAAUGCGUAGAGAUCGGGAGGAAUACCAGUGGCGAAGGCGGCCUUCUGGACUGACACUGAUACUGAGGUGCGAAAGCGUGGGUAGCAAACAGGAUUAGAUACCCCAGUAGUC